rnacentral:rRNA from 1 species
AGAAUCAACGCUGGCGGCGUGCCUAACACAUGCAAGUCGCACGAGAAAGGGACUUCGGUCCUGAGUACAGUGGCGCACGGGUGAGUAACACGUGACUUAUCUACCUUUGAGUGGGGAAUAACCUGGGGAAACCCGGGCUAAUACCGCAUAAUACCUACGGGUCAAAGCAGCAAUGCGCUUAAAGAGGAGGUCGCGGUCGAUUAGUUAGUUGGCGGGGUAAUGGCCCACCAAGACGAUGAUCGAUA